rnacentral:rRNA from 1 species
UACGGGGGGAGCAAGCGUUGUUCGGAUUUACUGGGCGUAAAGGGCGCGUAGGCGGCGUAACAAGUCACUUGUGAAAUCUCCGGGCUUAACCCGGAGCGGCCAGGUGAUACUGUUGUGCUAGAGUGCGGAAGGGGCUACUGGAAUUCUCGGUGUAGCGGUGAAAUGCGUAGAUAUCGAGAGGAACACCUGCGGCGAAGGCGGGUAGCUGGGCCGACACUGACGCUGAGGCGCGAAAGCCAGGGGAGCGAACGGG